rnacentral:rRNA from 1 species
GACGAACCGUGCGAACGUUGUUCGGAAUCACUGGGCUUAAAGGGCGCGUAGGCGGGCAGGUAAGUCAGGGGUGAAAGCCCACGGCCCAACCGUGGAAGUGCCUUUGAUACUGCCUGUCUCGAGGGAGGUAGGGGCGUGCGGAACUUCCGGUGGAGCGGUGAAAUGCGUAGAUAUCGGAAGGAACACCGGUGGCGAAAGCGGCACGCUGGACCUCUUCUGACGCUGAGGCGCGAAAGCCAGGGGAGCAAACGGG